rnacentral:rRNA from 1 species
AUACAUGCAGUCGAGCGGACCGACGGGAGCUUGCUCCCUUAGGUCAGCGGCGGACGGGUGAGUAACACGUGGGUAACCUGCCUGUAAGACUGGGAUAACUCCGGGAAACCGGGGCUAAUACCGGAUGCUUGAUUGAACCGCAUGGUUCAAUCAUAAAAGGCGGCUUCGGCUGCCGUUUACAGAUGGACCCGCGGCGCAUUAGCUAGUUGGUGAGGUAACGGCUCACCAAGGCGACGAUGCGUAGCCGACCUGAGAGGGUGAUCGGCCACACUGGGACUGAGACACGGCCCAGACUCCUACGGGAGGCAGCAGUAGGGAAUCUUCCGCAAUGGACGAAAGUCUGACGGAGCAACGCCGCGUGAGUGAUGAAGGUUUUCGGAUCGUAAAGCUCUGUUGUUAGGGAAGAACAAGUACCGUUCGAAUAGGGCGGUACCUUGACGGUACCUAACCAGAAAGCCACGGCUAACUACGUGCCAGCAGCCGCGGUAAUACGUAGGUGGCAAGCGUUGUCCGGAAUUAUUGCGCGUAGAGCGCGCGCAGGCGGUUUCUUAAGUCUGAUGUGAAAGCCCCCGGCUCAACCGGGGAGGGUCAUUGGAAACUGGGGAACUUGAGUGC